UAAUACGUAGGUGGCAAGCGUUGUCCGGAUUUACUGGGCGUAAAGAGCGCGCAGGCGGUCGAAUAAGUCGAAUGUGAAAGCCCCCGGCUCAACUGGGGAGGGUCAUUCGAUACUGUUCGACUUGAAGGCAGGAGAGAGAAGCAGAAUUCCCGGUGUAGUGGUGAAAUGCGUAGAUAUCGGGAGGAAUACCAGU
rnacentral:rRNA from 1 species